rnacentral:tRNA from 1 species
GCCUCUGUAGCUCAGUUGGUUAGAGCGCUGCACCGGAAUCGCAGGGCCGUAGGUUCAAUUCCUACGAGAGCA